CUAUGGGGUUGCUAUGGGGUUCUAUGGGUUUGUGGGGUUCCUAUGAGGUUCUAUGCAGUUCUAUGGGGUUUCUGUGGGGUUCUAUGGGGUUCUAUGGGGCUGCUAUGGGGUAUGUGAGUUGCUAUAGGGUUGCUAUGGGGUUCUAGGGUUCCUAUGGGGUUCUAUGCAGUUCUAUGGGGUUUCUGUGGGGUUCUAUGGGGUUCUAUGGGGCUGCUAUGGGGUAUGUGAGUUGCUAUAGGGUUGCUAUGGGGUUCUAGGGUUCCUAUGGGGUUGUUAUGGGGUGUCUAUGGGGUUGUGGGGUUGCUAUGGGGUUGCUA